ensembl:snoRNA
AUACUGUGAUGGUUGCAUAGUUCAGCAGAUUGAAUAUGAAGAGAUAAGCCAUUUGUCUGAUGUAUCG